CGAACGCAGUAGCAAUACUGAGUGGCAAACGGGUGAGUAUAAUGUGGGAAUCUGCCUUUUGGUUUGGAAUAACACGGGGAAACCUGUGCUAAUACCGAAUAAGCCCUUACGGGGAAAGUUUUAAUGCCGAAAGAUGAGCCCGCACUUGAUUAGCUAGUUGGUAAGGUAAAAGCUUACCAAGGCAACGAUCAAUAGCUGUUCUUAGAGGAAGACCAGCCACAUUGGGACUGAGACACGGCCCAGACUCCUACGGGAGGCAGCAGUGGGGAAUCUUGCACAAUGGGGGAAACCCUGACGCAGCGAUGCCGCGUGAGUGAAGAAGGCCUUUGGGUUGUAAAACUCUUUCGUCGGGGAAGAAAAUGACUGUACCCGAAUAAGAAGGUCCGGCUAACUUCGUGCCAGCAGCCGCGGUAAUACGAAGGGACCUAGCGUAGUUCGGAAUUACUGGGCUUAAAGAGCUCGUAGGUGGUUAAAAAAGUUGAUGGUGAAAUCCCAAGGCUUAACCUUGGAACUGCCAUCAAAACUUCUUAGCUAGAGUGUGAUAGAGGUAAGUGGAAUUUCUAGUGUAGAGGUGAAAUUCGUAGAUAUUAGAAAGAACACCAAAUGCGAAGGCAACUUACUGGGUCACUACUGACACUGAGGAGCGAAAGCAUGGGUAGCGAAGAGGAUUAGAUACCCUCGUAGUCCAUGCCGUAAACGAUGUGUGCUAGACGUUGGAAAUAUAUUUUUCAGUGUCGCAGCGAAAGCAU
rnacentral:rRNA from 1 species